rnacentral:rRNA from 1 species
GACGAACGCUGGCGGCGUGCCUAAUACAUGCAAGUUGAGCGCUGAAGGUUGGUACUUGUCCCAACUGGCUGAGCAGCGAACGGGUGAGUAACGCGUGGGGAAUCUGCCUUUGAGCGGGGGACAACAUUUGGAAACGAAUGCUAAUACCGCAUAAAAACUUUAAACACAAGUUUUAAGUUUGAAAGAUGCAAUUGCAUCACUCAAAGAUGAUCCCGCGUUGUAUUAGCUAGUUGGUGAGGUAAAGGCUCACCAAGGCGAUGAUACAUAGCCGACCUGAGAGGGUGAUCGGCCACAUUGGGACUGAGACACGGCCCAAACUCCUACGGGAGGCAGCAGUAGGGAAUCUUCGGCAAUGGACGAAAGUCUGACCGAGCAACGCCGCGUGAGUGAAGAAGGGUGUCGGAUCGUAAAACUCUGUUGGUAGAGAAGAACGUUGGUGAGAGUGGAAAGCUCAUCAAGUGACGGUAACUACCCAGAAAGGGACGGCUAACUACGUG